AGUGAACGCUGGCGGCGUGCUUAACACAUGCAAGUCGAACGGAUGAAAUAAGCUUGCUUAUUUCGUUAGUGGCGCACGGGUGAGUAAUGUAUAGCUAACCUGCCCUUUAGUGGGGGACAACAGUUGGAAACGACUGCUAAUACCCCAUAUUCCUUCUUAUCACAAGGUACGUUGGGAAAGAUUUAUUGCUAAAGGAUGGGGCUUUAUGGUAUCAGCUAGUUGGUGGGGUAACGGCCUACCAAGGCUAUGACGCCUACCUGGUCUGAGAGGAUGAUCAGGCACACUGGAACUGAGACACGGUCCAGACUCCUACGGGAGGCAGCAGUGGGGAAUAUUGCACAAUGGACGAAAGUCUGAUGCAGCAACGCCGCGUGAGGGAUGAAGGCCUUCGGUUGUAACCUCUUUAGUCAGGAGAAGCGAAAGUGACGGUACCGUAGCAGAAAAGACACCGGCGUAACUACGUG
rnacentral:rRNA from 1 species